AAAUAGGGGUUGUAGACUUCGGUCUGCUACCUCUUACCCAUGUCUUUUGAGUACCUUCGUUUCCUCGGCGGGUCCGCCCGCCGAUUGGACAACAUUCAAACCCUUUGCAGUUGCAAUCAGCGUCUGAAAAAACUUAAUAGUUACAACUUUCAACAACGGAUCUCUUGGUUCUGGCAUCGAUGAAGAACGCAGCGAAAUGCGAUAAGUAGUGUGAAUUGCAGAAUUCAGUGAAUCAUCGAAUCUUUGAACGCACAUUGCGCCCCUUGGUAUUCCAUGGGGCAUGCCUGUUCGAGCGUCAUUUGUACCUUCAAGCUCUGCUUGGUGUUGGGUGUUUUGUCUCGCCUCUGCGUGUAGACUCGCCUUAAAACAAUUGGCAGCCGGCGUAUUGAUUUCGGAGCGCAGUACAUCUCGCGCUUUGCACUCAUAACGACGACGUCCAAAAGUACAUUUUUACACUCUUGACCUCGGAUCAGGUAGGGAUACCCGCUGAACUUAAGCAUAUCAAUAAGCGGAGGAAA
rnacentral:rRNA from 1 species